CAAUAUUUGUUUCGUGAGCAUGUGUCUGACUUGGGCACCACGACUUGCUUCUGUAAUUUUUCGACUAUGCUCUUUUAAUCUGACGCCAGCAAACUUUUGCAGGAUCACUUUCGCCAGUGAAAUUAUGUGAUCAGGCUCAUCUGCAUAGUGCUGGCACAAUGGUAGCUUGUCAUCAUGUUUUAGGCUGAAGUGAUUAAACGACUUAAAAACUAUCGCCCGGACUACAAGCUUCACAGACCUCCAUUUCUCGAGACGAAAGGUCUGCUCAGCGCAGCACAGCAGACGUGUAACAAAUGGGGAUGGUUUCACCAGCCCUCCAUUAUCCCUGAGCAUGAUGAGAAUUCUUGAUGUCUCGUCAUCUAGGAGUGUGUCCAAACAACCAUUACGGGUGAGUUUUGAGGAAACAAUUCUAACAUUAUAUCCUCCAAUACAGGCUACAAAUGUCCUCGCUGAACCUGCUGAGUCUGGAUGAUUCCCCGUAGUCAUGAUCAGCACACUGAAGGAGGGCACAGAUGUUGUCCUCUGCAGGAACUUCUGCAGUGGGAGCCUGCACUUUCCUCCCUUCGCGGCUUGCCCUGGUGACCGAGUGUCUAUGCCUUCCACUGUAGGCGCGACAUUUGCAGAGCUUGGGGCCUGAACUUCAGCGUGUAUCAGAAGCUUCCUGUAGGCAUGACGGAAUUAGGAAGCAGGUGGGUUGUUAUUCCAUCCACCUCUUUGCCUGAUGCUGCUGAAGAACAGUUCCAAGUGGUCCUGGCUGAGGUGCGCUUCUGCCAGCUGUGCAACACUUUUUAGCGUAAAGGCCAAGCUAAUGACUGACAUGCGUCUCCCAUGCUGAGCAGCUAGCUCCCCGGAUGGAAGUCGCAUCGUCAUCAUUCUUGACGCCAAUUGGCCACAGUCAUGAAAAGGAAAGGCCUACCCAUCUACGUUGGGAAUGAACGAAGCGGUUGCGUCACUUCCUUCAAACUCCGUCAAGCCGAGGAGCCUUGCGUGGGUCAGGGCUUUGCUCACGGACGAACUCAGAGUCUGCGCCACAAGGCGGACCUUCAUGAUCUGGCGCCCAAACUCAAUAUGGGACCUGGCAGUGGAAGAGCUUGAGGAGGGAUGGUGGGCUCUGCUUGCUCAGCACUGGUGUCAUGCAUUUCCUUGGAAAACAUGAAGUGAAGGCAGCCAUACAGAGUGGUGGCUGCAUAAACUACUGUGUACUUACCAGGGAAACUGUGUCAGCACCACUUUCAUCUGGCUGGCUGGCUCUUCCUUGGCUCUACAAAACGUUCUCCCAUUAUCUUCUUUUGUAUCAUUUUAAAAGUAAUAAAGAGCAGCCGGAUA